CGAGUCGUUCGGAGUUGGAGUCAUCCAGAAGCCGGUGUUAGAGUAUUCCGUAGUCGGAGUCACCUGCAGUCUUCGGAAGUCGGAGCUAAAGUAGGAGUCAGAAUCGACCAGUGUUGAAGUCAUCCAGAGUCGAAAUCGACUAGAGUCGAACUUGGUCGGAGUCGGAGACAACCACGAAUAGGAGCUGGGCAACUCCAUCCGACUCCGGUUAUCCGACUACUGCCAACUCCGGACGAAACUGCUGGUUCUAUUUUCGCCGAAGUCAGAAUCAAAAGAAACAAUAACCAGAGUGCCUCCAGCCAGACCAUCACCAGUUGGUUCAUCACCUUCCCCGCGGCUAACAGUAAAACGAACAGUUUCACCGGUAGAAGCCAUGGCAUUGUAAAGAAGUUUUAUGACCGCAGGAGUUCACGUUCUUCCUCCGAACAUACGGGCUACGACCCCCUGACGGGUCUCGGUUAAAGUUCAUCUACUGUCGCCCUCUGGUGUGAUGCCUUCCAGGUGUGAUGCGAUCUGUGAACUUCAACCGAAUGGGUCAUUUGCGUGGCUGGCUGCCAGACGAACCCCACCGUUAUUUUCGCCCUGACGUUGAUGAUAUUCACAGAAAAAGAUGAGCCUUUUUGACACGCAAAUGGGCCGCCGGGCGACCGUUUUGAAGGUCGUCCCCGGUUGUGCGCGGUUUUUGAUACAAGCGCACGCGCCGUCCACACUACGUCCUUGCCGUUCGGCAACGAUAAAAGUUAUAAUUUAUCGCUCGGGAGUCUCCAUUAUCUCCCCCGAAAACACCGUGGCCGUUUAUGCAGAAGUCAACUCUCCCCCCCCCCCUUGGUGUACAUCCGGAGGAUCCACUACAGAGCGGCCAAUCAAAAUUAUCUUCUUCGAUCGAACAAGAGUAUGGGCAUUGUGGGCAACUUUUCACCCUUGACCAGAGUGCGCACCCGCGGCAGAGCAGCUUCUUCGCCCCCCCACAAAAAUAGAUGUGACGCCGGACAAGCACAUAAUCGGGUAAGUGACAAAUUUAUCGCCACUUGAGGCGCACUU